GAUUCGUCACACUAUCAUUAACUGAAUCCAUAGGUUAAUGAGGCGAACCGGGGGAACUGAAACAUCUAAGUACCCCGAGGAAAAGAAAUCAACCGAGAUUCCCCCAGUAGCGGCGAGCGAACGGGGAGGAGCCCAGAGCCUGAAUCAGCAUGUGUGUUAGUGGAAGCGUCUGGAAAGGCGCGCGAUACAGGGUGACAGCCCCGUACACAAAAGCGCAUGUGCUGUGAGCUCGAUGAGUAGGGCGGGACACGUGGUAUCCUGUCUGAAUAUGGGGGGACCAUCCUCCAAGGCUAAAUACUCCUGACUGACCGAUAGUGAACCAGUACCGUGAGGGAAAGGCGAAAAGAACCCCGGCGAGGGGAGUGAAAAAGAACCUGAAACCGUGUACGUACAAGCAGUGGGAGCACCCUUCGGGGUGUGACUGCGUACCUUUUGUAUAAUGGGUCAGCGACUUAUAUUCUGUAGCAAGGUUAACCGUAUAGGGGAGCCGGAGGGAAACCGAGUCUUAAUUGGGCGUUAAGUUGCAGGGUAUAGACCCGAAACCCGGUGAUCUAGCCAUGGGCAGGUUGAAGGUUGGGUAACACUAACUGGAGGACCGAACCGACUAAUGUUGAAAAAUUAGCGGAUGACCUGUGGCUGGGGGUGAAAGGCCAAUCAAACCGGGAGAUAGCUGGUUCUCCCCGAAAGCUAUUUAGGUAGCGCCUCGUGAAUUCAUCUCCGGGGGUAGAGCACUGUUUCGGCUAGGGGGCCAUCCCGGCUUACCAACCCGAUGCAAACUGCGAAUACCGGAGAAUGUUAUCACGGGAGACACACGGCGGGUGCUAACGUCCGUCGUGAAGAGGGAAACAACCCAGACCGCCAGCUAAGGUCCCAAAGUCAUGGUUAAGUGGGAAACGAUGUGGGAAGGCCCAGACAGCCAGGAUGUUGGCUUAGAAGCAGCCAUCAUUUAAAGAAAGCGUAAUAGCUCACUGGUCGAGUCGGCCUGCGCGGAAGAUGUAACGGGGCUAAACCAUGCACCGAAGCUGCGGCAGCGAACGUAUCACCCAAGACAACUUUACGGAGUUGACGAUUGACGGAGCGAAGCGACGUCAAAGCGUUCAUUAAAGUCGAGUUGGCUUAGGGAUACGUUCGUUGGGUAGGGGAGCGUUCUGUAAGCCUGUGAAGGUGUGUCGUGAGGCAUGCUGGAGGUAUCAGAAGUGCGAAUGCUGA
rnacentral:rRNA from 1 species